AACGCUAGCUACAGGCUUAACACAUGCAAGUCGAGGGGUAACGAGAGGAAAGCUUGCUUUCCUUGUCGACGACCGGCGCACGGGUGAGUAACGCGUAUCCAACCUGCCCCCAACUAGGGAAUAACCUUGCGAAAGUAAGACUAAUACCCUAUAAUUUCCUCAGAUGUCAUCUGGCGAGGAAUAAAGAUUUAUCGGUUGUGGAUGGGGAUGCGUCUGAUUAGCUUGUUGGCGGGGUAACGGCCCACCAAGGCAACGAUCAGUAGGGGUUCUGAGAGGAAGGUCCCCCACAUUGGAACUGAGACACGGUCCAAACUCCUACGGGAGGCAGCAGUGAGGAAUAUUGGUCAAUGGGCGGAAGCCUGAACCAGCCAAGUAGCGUGCAGGAUGACGGCCCUAUGGGUUGUAAACUGCUUUUAUACAGGAAUAAAGUUAGCCACGUGUGGUUAUUUGUAGGUACUGUAUGAAUAAGGACCGGCUAAUUCCGUGCCAGCAGCCGCGGUAAUACGGAAGGUCCAGGCGUUAUCCGGAUUUAUUGGGUUUAAAGGGAGCGUAGGCCGUCUGUUAAGCGUGUUGUGAAAUGUAGAUGCUCAACAUCUGAAUUGCAGCGCGAACUGGCAGACUUGAGUGUGCGCAACGUAGGCGGAAUUCGUGGUGUAGCGGUGAAAUGCUUAGAUAUCACGAAGAACUCCGAUUG
rnacentral:rRNA from 1 species